rfam:Prunus persica cultivar Lovell chromosome G1, whole genome shotgun sequence.
GGUCACCCCAAAGGUGUGAUGCCUGAGAACACACAAGGCAUUAGUUGCUAUAUUAAUAGUAUUAGCAUAACUAAUGCAUUUUGUGUUCUCAGGUCACCCCUUUGGGACACCU